GAUGAACGCUGGCGGCGUGCCUAAUACAUGCAAGUCGAGCGAACAGACGAGGAGCUUGCUCCUCUGACGUUAGCGGCGGACGGGUGAGUAACACGUGGAUAACCUACCUAUAAGACUGGGAUAACUUCGGGAAACCGGAGCUAAUACCGGAUAAUAUAUUGAACCGCAUGGUUCAAUAGUGAAAGACGGUUUUGCUGUCACUUAUAGAUGGAUCCGCGCCGCAUUAGCUAGUUGGUAAGGUAACGGCUUACCAAGGGAAGGAUGCGUAGCCGACCUGAGAGGGUGAUCGGCCACACUGGAACUUAGACACGGUCCAGACUCCUACGGGAGGCAGCAGUAGGGAAUCUUCCGCAAUGGGCGAAAGCCUGACGGAGCAACGCCGCGUGAGUGAUGAAGGUCUUCGGAUCGUAAAACUCUGUUAUUAGGGAAGAACAAAUGUGUAAGUAACUAUGCACGUCUUGACGGUACCUAAUCAGAAAGCCACGGCUAACUACGUG
rnacentral:rRNA from 1 species